GAACUGCGCCAGUGCUCAUACACUAAAACUGGGGUGAUCCCCAGAAGAUUAACAUGGCUCCUGAACAAGGAUGACACACAGAUUCAUGGAUCAUUGUAUAUUGUU
ensembl:snRNA U6 U6 spliceosomal RNA